ensembl:lncRNA
UGGAAUAAGGACAACAAUUGCAGUUAGAUAUGGUCGUAUGCCUAAAGGUCUAGCCAAAGGCAUAUAAAUGGAAGUGCAUGACAGUUUCUGGGAAACUUCUGUAAGAUAGAUUGUAGGUGUGCUUUAAACCUGCUUCCCCCUUACUUGCUUCCUUCUGUGUAGAACUCAGAUGUGAUGGUUGGAGCACCAUGUUGGACCAAGUAUAAGUAAUCAUGAAAUGGAACUGAAGGCAGUCCAAGUCCCAGGUGAUGAGGAAGCCACCAUAUCAGCUCUUGCUUGCCUAUCCUGGAUGUCACGUGAGAAGGAAAUUUCUAUUUGGUGAAGGUUUGCAAGAGAGCAGCCGCUUGGGAAUCCUGAUGCGGAGAGUGAUAAUAAUGCCUAUUAGACGUCAGAACUACUUACCAUUUCUGGCUGUCCUUGGAGAAGAGACCCAGGAUGAUUCAGCCAAGCCGCAGGUAAACAUGCUGAAUAUUCCCAUCUCUUUCCAAGGAAUUUUUUAAGA